UGAACGCUGGCGGCAGGCCUAACGCAUGCAAGUCGAACGGUAACAGGAAGCAGCUUGCUGCUUUGCUGACGAGUGGCGGACGGGUGAGUAAUGUCUGGGAAACUGCCCGAUGGAGGGGGAUAACUACUGGAAACGGUAGCUAAUACCGCAUAACGUCGCAAGACCAAAGAGGGGGACCUUAGGGCCUCUUGCCAUCGGAUGUGCCCAGAUGGGAUUAGCUAGUAGGUGGGGUAACGGCUCACCUAGGCGACGAUCCCUAGCUGGUCUGAGAGGAUGACCAGCCACACUGGAACUGAGACACGGUCCAGACUCCUACGGGAGGCAGCAGUGGGGAAUAUUGCACAAUGGGCGCAAGCCUGAUGCAGCCAUGCCGCGUGUAUGAAGAAGGCCUUCGGGUUGUAAAGUACUUUCAGCGGGGAGGAAGGGAGUAAAGUUAAUACCUUUGCUCAUUGACGUUACCCGCAGAAGAAGCACCGGCUAACUCCGUG
rnacentral:rRNA from 1 species